rnacentral:rRNA from 1 species
GAUGAACGCUAGCGGCAGGCUUAAUACAUGCAAGUCGUGGGGCAGCGCAGGUAGCAAUACUGGGCGGCGACCGGCAAACGGGUGCGGAACACGUACACAACCUUCCGAGAAGUGGGGAAUAGCCCAGAGAAAUUUGGAUUAAUACCCCGUAACAUAACGAUGUGGCAUCACAUUGUUAUUAUAGCUUCGGCGCAUCUUGAUGGGUGUGCGGCUGAUUAGAUAGUUGGCGGGGUAACGGCCCACCAAGUCUACGGUCAGUAGCUGAUGUGAGGGCAGGAUCAGCCACACGGGAACUGAGACACCGGCACGACUCCUAGGGGAGGCAGCGGUAAGGAAUAUUGGUCAAUGGACGCAAGUCUGAACCAGCCAUGCCGGGUGAAGGAUUAAGGUCCUCUGGAUUGUAAACUUCUUUUAUCUGGGACGAAAAAAGGCGAUUCUUCGUCACUUGACGGUACCAGAUGAAUAAGCACCGGCUAACUCCGUGCCAGCCGCCGCAGUAAGAC